UACGGAAGGCAGCAGUAGGGAAUCUUCCGCAAUGGACGAAAGUCUGACGGAGCAACGCAGCGUGAACGAUGAAGGCUUUCGGGUCGUAAGUUCUGUUGUUAGGGAGAACAAGUACCGGAGUAACUGCCGGUACCUUGACGGUACCUAACCAGAAAGCCACGGCUAACUACGUGCCAGCAGCCGCGGUAACACGUAGGUGGCAAGCGUUGUCCGGAAUUAUUGGGCGUAAAGCGCGCGCAGGCGGUCCUUUAAGUCUGAUGUGAAGCCCACGGCUCAACCGUGGAGGGUCAUUGGAAACUGGGGACUUGAGUGCAGAAGAGGAGAGUGGAAUUCCACGUGUAGCGGUGAAAUGCGUAGAGAUGUGGAGGAACACCAGUGGCGAAGGCGACUCUCUGGUCUGUAACUGACGCUGAGGCGCGAAAGCGUGGGGAGCGAACAGGGAUUAGGAUACC
rnacentral:rRNA from 1 species